UGUUAUGCGACUAACUUCGUUCAGGUGAUGUCCACGUUUAUGACUUCAUCACUGGGCAAAGUUUGUCGCAUAAA
rnacentral:pre_miRNA from 1 species